GACGAACGCUGGCGGCAUGCUUAACACAUGCAAGUCGAACGAAAAGGCCCUGCUUUUGUGGGGUGCUCGAGUGACGAACGGGUGAGUAACACGUGAGUAACCUGCCCUUGACUUUGGGAUAACUUCAGAAAACUGGAGCUAAUACCGCAUAGGAGCUCCUGCUGCAUGGUGGGGGUUGGAAAGUUUCGGCGGUUGGUGAUGGACUCGCGGCUUAUCAGCUUGUUGGUGGGGUAGUGGCAUACCAAGGCUUUGAAGGGUAGCCGGCCUGAGAGGGUGACCGGCCACACUGGGACUGAGAUACGGCCCAGACUCCUACGGGAGGCAGCAGUGGGGAAUAUUGCACUAUGGGCGGAAGGCAGAUGCAGCAACGCCGCGCGCGGGAUGACGGCCUUCGGGUUGUAAACCGCUGUCGCCUGUGACGAAGCGUGAGUGACGGUAAUGGGUAAAUAAGCACCGGCUAACUACGUG
rnacentral:rRNA from 1 species